GUGGCGUUGUUUAUGGAGAUGGUGUGCCGGAGGCCGGCGCCAUCUUUUAGGCGUCCGGCUGCCUACACAUUUACAGCACGGGAAUGCAGAUGAUAUCUCUGAAAGCAGAAAGACUGAACGCUCCUGGGCAGAACAACUGGCUACAGCAGAUGCUAAAAACAGAGCCUUGGAGAAAGAAGGCGGCUAAUGGCCCCAGGAAAUCUGUCCCAUCAUCUGGGUCCCUCGAUGAAGCAUCCAAACUCAGCACAGAGAAAAUAAAUGUACAAUGCGGAGAGAAAUCAUUCUCUGUACCACCAUCACCAUGAAGGUUACCAUCAGCACACACUCAAGGAAGAAAACAAGCCUGAAUCCAAAGAAGAUGCAGCUUAAGAUCACUGAACUAUGAAGACAAAUAUCUGAAUGUUUAAACACAUAAAGAAUUUCCCCUUUCAAUCCACAUAGCCUCAUGCUGUCAAGAACUUCGCAGGACUCCUUAUUAAGAGCUGACAGGCUUUGCUUGCAAGCAGGCUUCCCCCAUCUCUAGCAAUAUAGAAGGUAUCGGUACAUUCCUAUUUUUCUCCAAACAUAGGAGGAGGCUUGCAACCUACUGACUUUGAACCACCAUGAAAAUGACAGAUUGCUACUUUGUGAUUAUUGUCAUAAGAUUCCAUGCCUGAAACUGAGAUGUUUUCUUCUUCUUUUCCCACUUCUUCUAUUUCAAGUGACCCUAUUAAUGAUAGAUCUCUACUUGAAAUAAUUGGCUAUUCUAAAACUGAGAAAUAAGCACUUUCCUGUCCUCAUUGUUUUUCCUUCUUUAUCUCUAACAGCCCCAGAGGAUCACAAACAUUUGUCCUCAGGGCAAUAUCAGCGGUUAAUGAUUCAUGUUCAAAGUCUGUGAGUUGUCUAAUUAACAAAAGGCAAUGUUUUACAGAAGCCAUUUUUGCUUUCAAGUUAAUAGCACGCAGCAGAUACAAAUGCUACAAUGCCAUGCAGGUCUUCAAGGCUGUGGUACACUGCUGUUUCUAAAGGUUCCAGAUUUAUUUAUCUGACCCAAACUUCAAGCCAUUAAAAACAAAGCACUCUCGUUUGUUUCCUUUUGAAUGAUUGGCAGUCUUACAGCACUAUUCACAUAUCACAUCCUCCUGUAAUGUACUCAUAAAAUUUAUGUUUCAGUUCUUAUUAAAUGGGGCACUUGAUUAACGAAAAUAAUAUGAGCUUAUUUUCUGUCGACUAUAUUCAUAACAAUAUCAGUCAUUAAAGAAAUCAGAAUCUUUAAAAUAACCCAAUCAUCUUUUAAUAUAAAUGGUGACACAUAUGAAAUAUUUCCUCAAUAGCAUGUGUGUGGUAAGACUUCUGUUACUAUAGCAACGUGUCAUUCUACAUUUUCAUACAGAAAGACUGAUGUUUGAUAAAUAUUGACAUUUUCAAAAUUACAGUAUGUGUAUGUGUCU
rnacentral:lncRNA from 1 species